rnacentral:lncRNA from 10 species
ACUUUUAUUUUUUCUCGCCAAAGGUUAUUGUACAACCUACAGAAGAGAGUGUAAACACUGGUCUUUAAGAUGAAUUGUAAAGCUCUAAAAAGAAUAAGAAAAAUUGUGUUUCAUAAUUUAUGAUGGAUAACAUUUUAGAGUUGAUUUCAUAAGAGAAUUCAUUAAGCCAAUAGACAACCAUGGCAUUUUAACUGUAGUGUUUAAGUAUCUUUAGCUCUGAUUUUUUAAUUAGCAGAAGCAAAUAAAGAGAGCUUCAUUUUAACCAUGAGAAAUCUCUCUUCUGUACUUCAUGUGACUAAAUUUGUCCAGAUGCUGCCGUUCAAAUAAUCACAGCGAUUGCCAACAUAA